rnacentral:tRNA from 2 species
UGCGGUUUAGUGUAAUUGGCAACACACUACUCUCAUAAGGUAGAAGAUUUCAGUUCAAGUCUGAAAGCCGCAA